AGCAACCGCCAGUGAGCUGUGAAGACUUGGGUUGGGCGGGGCUGCGGGAGGUGACGCCGGGAGGUCCCGGCUGAGAGCGCCGGCUGCCGGCUGGGGACAUGGUGAGUGUGAAGCUGUAACCUUCUGCUGGGGCCGGGGCCGAAGUUUUUCCGCCAGAGCAAGGAAGGCUGCCCCUGGCAGCAACUGCACCCCUUCCUUACUCCUGUUGAGGUUCAUUUUAUAGUAGGAAAUAGGCAUCUAACUACCAUACAAGUUCAGACCAAUGGAAGAAAAGAGCAGCAAAAAUUGAACUGAAUGAAUCCCAAAAGCAAGAAAUUAAAGACGCCUUUAAUUUAUUUGAUAUUGAUGGGUCUGGAACCAUCGAUAUAAAAGAAGGCACUAUUCUAAGGAGCAUUGAAAGAUACAACCUUCCGUUUUGAAGCUUACGUUUUUGGUAACGGAUCUGAAUUAUGAGGUUUAAUAAGAGAUGCAUUCUGGACCACCCUGUGCCUUCUCCACCUUAGCAAGCUCUACCUUUAAGCACCUUGAGGGCAGAUGAAAUGCUUGAUGAAGCUGAUCGUGAUGGAGAUGGAGAAAUAAACGAGGAAGAUUUUUUGAGAGUGAUGAAAAAGACUACUCGUUAUUAAUAGCGUUGUUUUAGUCCUUGUGGAAAAUUAACAAAUUUGUAUUUGUUAUGCAGUUUUAUAAUUUAAUAUCUGAAUGUAUUCAUUUUCAGUUUUUAGUUUAUAUGUACACAUUGGCUUCUUGAUGUCUAAUCCAUGUAAGAAGUUACACAUCUCUACCAAUAUGAUGUUAAAUCUACAGCAUCAAGAAACAAAACAUAAUGACUUCUUUGAGCCAUUAAUCCAAGAACAGUAUUGAUUCUAGCUGCUCUUUUGAGAACCUUAGGUCACAAAGACUUAGAAUUUUAAAGUUUGAUGAAGUUGGCUUCACAUCCAAAUGAAUUUGGCAAACAAAACUUAUAUUUUCCUUUCGUGCAACCCAAAAAAACCUGAUAAACAUUUGCUUUUUAGUCAGUUACUCAAAUACAUAAAGUAUUAAAUAGAACUGUCUGGAAACAUUAUUUGCUAAUUUUCUUCUUUUAGUUAUAAAGAAAAUUCAAAAUAGCACUUACAUCACCCAUAUUUCCCUGUAAGUUUGACCCUAUAGUGAGCACUUAAUACCUCUGUGCUAGGACAGGUGGUGUAGAGUUUUAUUUUUAAAAAAAUUUAUUUAUAUAUUUUUUGAGACAAAAUCUCCCUCUGUCACCCAGGCUGGAGUGCAGUGGUGCUAUCUCGGCUCAAUGCAACUUCUGCCUCCUGGGCUCAAGAGAUUCUCCUGCCUCAGCCUCCCGAGUAGCUGGGACUACAGGUACCUGCCACCAUGCCUAGCUAAUUUUUUGCAUUUUUAGUAGAGACGGAGUUUCACUGUGUUAGCCAUGAUGGUCUCGAUCUCCUGACCUCGUGAUCUGCCUACCUCAGCCUCCCAAACUGCUGGGAUUACAGGGGUGAGCCACCAUGCCUGGCCGAGAUUUUAUGUGUUAACUUCAGUAAACAUAUUACAAGUUGGAAGCUGAUUGUAUUAGCUCCAUUUUACAUACAAGAAAACUAAAGUUCAGAGAAGUUUUAAAAAUUCCCCAGUUGCCCAUUGAUAAUAAAUAAAACAUGGAUUCCAAAUCUUAAGUUCUUAUUCUUCAUUAUGCUGCUUCCCUAUGGAUAAAACUUUGAAGAUAACUGUGUAUUUUCUAACUCAUUUUCAAUUCUGUGACUCUUGUGAUUUCUUCCUUGUGAAAGAGCCAAACUGUUGGGAAACGGAAUCUCAUACAUACAGUCUUUUAACUCCUACUCAGUUGUUUGAGAGUGGGCCUUGGGCCUGGAACACUUCUUUUGAAGAGACUAGGAGUCCACAGAGCCUGUGCUGAACUUACCACCCCGUAUAGUAAUAUCUUCCUCUGUUUCAGAGCCAAUGUGUAGUCCUUUGCCCUGCUUAAGUGUGUGCAUCAUAUGGCAUCUGACCAACCCCACUGCUCUGUCUCCUGUGGGGGAGGAGAUGGGGGUCCUUCAGCACAAGAGGAGUGUUUGCAGGCCACCUGCCCUGUGUCAGCUGCCAAGAGGGACCCUCUGGUCAUGGGAGACUGAAGUCCACUAGGGAAGCUGAUCUUGCUCUGUCUCUUCUGUAUAGCAAGAUCAAAUUCAUCAAUAUAUGGACAAUUUAAGAGGCUUUUACUCCAACCAUUCCUGAGGAACCAAAUUCUGCCAACAACCAUGUGAACGAGCUUUGAAACUGAUCUUUUUCCAGUUGACCUUUGAGAUAGUACAACUCUAGUUGACACUUUGAUUACAACAAGUGAGAGACCCUGAAGCAGAGGAACAAGUGAAGCCACCCCUGGAUUUCUGAUUUAUAGAAACUGUGCAAUAACAAUUAUUUUAAGCUACUGAGUUAUGGGACAGUUAUGCAGCAAUAGAUUACUGCUAUAGUCCUCCAUCUUGAGACUUGUGUUAACUUCUCCCCUAUUGAAUGGCUAGAUACACAAGGAACCAACUAAGAGUUCUAUCAAAUAUUAAAUAAAGAUGAGAUUAAAUAGA